GGGGCGCCAAUUUGUGUCCUGGGUUCCUGACACUGACACCCCGGUUAACUUAACCAAACUGAAAAGAUUCACGAGCACCAGUGCUCUGCACCGAGCUCCAAACGGGAAAUUAAAAUGACCCCAGGGCGCCGUUCCGCCGGGUAUACGGACGGCCGCCAGACUUUGGCGGCAUGGAGCGGACGGCUUUCGAGAUUCGGGAAAGCGUGCAGGUUUGAUUUUUUUUUCAAAGUAUAAGGUGAUAUCAAAUAGCGAAAUACAGGCCGCAAUAUGGUUAAAAUAAGAAAGGAAAGAAGGUCUGGGCUUCCCAACGCUUGUUCCGAGAAAUAUCUGGACCAAACGCUCCGGUACUGGUGUUCAUCACUUGCGCACUUGAGCGUCAUGGACGAGGAAGGGGAUCUCGCCGACGGCCCUUGGAUCCCGACCUGGGAGCAGGCAAGGAAAUUGUUCAUCUCUUUCUUCUUGGGUGAUUUGCCAUUUCUCGUGAGUAAUUGGUAAAAAAACUGAUGUGGUUGGAGUGAGCACGUUGCCGGCGAGGAUGCUGAUCCUGUGCCGGCGCAAGUCCUCCGCGCCGCUGCAGCCGCCUCCGGAGAAGGUGCUGUAGCAGUACCUCGAGGAGCAGCUCAUCGCGCUGCUCAUCAAGGGGCCGGUUGCUAAGCGCCUCGCCGUCGGCGACCCCGAUGCCGAGGAAUCCGGCCGCUGGGAGGGGUUGGGAACUGGAUGCGCGGCACCUGACGCGUACACCGUCCAUGGCCUCCGCUGCUACGGGCCACGACGGAUCAGGCACCUCCUUCCGGCGGUCGGACCUCCGCCUUCUCGGCGUCAUGGGCCGCUCGCGCCCAUCCCAUUCAAGCCGGCCGAACUGCUGCCUUUCCUCUACAGCAAGAGUACCCCCAUUGACUCGUCGUCCGCGCGGUACAUCCUGCACUAGUACACGGCGACGUCGCCCGGCUACAAGCUGCUGCAGUCGGUGCAGGAUGGGCAAGGUCAGGAUGGUGGCGUCCGAGUUCGAGACUGCGACGCCGGUUAUCAAGAACCGCGGACCCACCAGUCGCGCAGCCGCCGCCGCCGUCGAGCAGGACAGCUUCGUGCUAUUGCAGAUGGCCCCCGACAUGUGGUAUUUAGAGCUUAGCAACAUCUCCAAUAGUUAGAUUGUUCUUGUGUGAGCAACAAAUGCAUCGUUUUGACACGAACAAAUUUCGAGAUGCUUUAUUUGCACAAUAUAUGUGCUGCCUUUUAUUCAACUUUUAUUUAAUCUCUUUUGUGGUUUUGUAAAGAAUGUGCAUCUAAUGAUUUCAUGAAAUAGUUUGUUUGCACAUGAAUACAUAGAGCAUUGUACCUUUGGUUAAUUUAUAAGAGUUUUUUA